CCAGACUCCUACGGGAGGCAGCAGUGGGGAAUAUUGCACAAUGGGCGCAAGCCUGAUGCAGCCAUGCCGCGUGUAUGAAGAAGGCCUUCGGGUUGUAAAGUACUUUCAGUCGGGAGGAAGGUGGUAAGGUUAAUAACCUUAUCAAUUGACGUUACCGACAGAAGAAGCACCGGCUAACUCCGUGCCAGCAGCCGCGGUAAUACGGAGGGUGCAAGCGUUAAUCGGAAUUACUGGGCGUAAAGCGCACGCAGGCGGUCUGUCAAGUCGGAUGUGAACUCCCCGGGCUCAACCUGGGAACUGCAUUCGAAACUGGCAGGCUGGAGUCUUGUAGAGGGGGGUAGAAUUCCAGGUGUAGCGGUGAAAUGCGUAGAGAUCUGGAGGAAUACCGGUGGCGAAGGCGGCCCCCUGGACAAAGACUGACGCUCAGGUGCGAAAGCGUGGGGAGCAAGCAGGAUUAGAUACCCGCGUAA
rnacentral:rRNA from 1 species